ensembl:misc_RNA Metazoa_SRP Metazoan signal recognition particle RNA
GCCGGGCGUGGUGGCGCACGCCUGUAGUCCCAGCUACUCAGGAGGCUGAGGUGGGAGGAUCGCUUGAGUCCAGGAGUUCUGGGCUGCAGUGCGCUAUGCCGAUCGGGUGUCCGCACUAAGUUCGGCAUCAAUAUGGUGACCUCCCGGGAGCGGGGGACCACCAGGUUGCCUAAGGAGGGGUGAACCGGCCCAGGUCGGAAAUGGAGCAGGUCAAAACUCCCGUGCUGAUCAGUAGUGGGAUCGCGCCUGUGAAUAGCCACUGCACUCCAGCCUGGGCAAUAUAGUGAGACCCUGUCUCU